rnacentral:tRNA from 2 species
CGACCGCCUCAGGGCCGAGAGGGCCCGUUGGAGAAGGGGGAGCAGGUUCAAAUCCUGCCAUCUCGACCA